AAACCCAGUCAAUGGGAAAAGAGAUACCUUGUUGAUGGUGUGCUAUCACAUCAGUCAGGGACAGAGCAAAUGGCAGUCCUUUGUUCAUCCUAGCUUGACGCCUGGCUUGGUGGCCAAAGCUGUCUCAUACCUAGGACUCAUAA